GAUCUGGCUCAGGAUGAACGCUGGCGGCGUGCUUAACACAUGCAAGUCGAACGAAGCACUUUAUUUGAUUUCUUCGGAAUGAAGAUUUUGUGACUGAGUGGCGGACGGGUGAGUAACGCGUGGGUAACCUGCCUCAUACAGGGGGAUAACAGUUGGAAACGACUGCUAAUACCGCAUAAGCGCACAGGGUCGCAUGACCUGGUGUGAAAAACUCCGGUGGUAUGAGAUGGACCCGCGU
rnacentral:rRNA from 1 species